rnacentral:rRNA from 1 species
UGGAAUGAGUACAAUUUAAAUCCCUUAACGAGGAUCAAUUGGAGGGCAAGUCUGGUGCCAGCAGCCGCGGUAAUUCCAGCUCCAAUAGCGUAUAUUAAAGUUGUUGCAGUUAAAACGUCCGUAGUCAAACUUUAGUCUUACCGGCGUAGUGGCCUGGUCUUCAUUGACCAAGCUCAUUGCUGCCGGAGACUCCAUGUCCAUUGACUCCUAGUCCUCGUGGCUAGGGUUUUCUGGACAAUUACCAUGAGCAAAUCAGAGUGUUUAAAGCAGGCUUUUAAGCUUGAAUGUGUUAGCAUGGAAUAAUGAAAUAUGACUUUAGUCCUAUUUUCGUUGGUUUAGGUACUUCAGUAAUGAUGAAUAGAAACGGUUAGGGGCAUUUGUAUUUGGUCGCUAGAGGUGAAAUUCUUGGAUUGACCGAAGACAAACUACUGCGAAAGCAUUUGACCCGGGACGUUUUCAUUGAUCAAGGUCUAAAGUUAAGGGAUCGAAGACGAUUAGAUACCGUCGUAGUCUUAACCACAAACUAUGCCGACUAGAGAUUGGGCGUGUUUAUUAUGACUCGCUCAGCAUCUUAGCGAAAGUAAAGUUUUUGGGUUCUGGGGGGAGUAUGGGACGCAAGGCUGAAACUUAAAGGA